GGGAAAAGUCAAUGGUGCAGUUGAGACUUGCGGUGAGAGUUUCCACCGGUUUGACAAGUAUCUUAAUUUCUCAAAUCCACACAUCGCCAGGAACUUUGAUCCCAAUGCAUGCGGCUGGGCCUAUGGAAUGAAUAUUUUUGACCUUAACGUGUGGAAGAAAAAGGAUAUCACUGGGAUUUAUCACAAGUGGCAGAACAUGAACGAGGAUAGAGUGCUGUGGAAACUUGGAACACUUCCUCCAGGACUAUUAACAUUUUACGGAUUGACUCACCCGCUGGACAAAUCGUGGCACACACUUGGAUUGGGUUAUAACCCAAG
rnacentral:misc_RNA from 1 species